AGCAGCAUGGCGCAGCUGGAAGCGCGCGGGGCCCAUAUAUAGGCCGACCCCGAGGUCACUUGAUCGAAACAAGUUGCUGCUA
rnacentral:tRNA from 1 species